GACGAACGCUGGCGGCGUGCUUAACACAUGCAAGUCGAACGGUAAGGCCCUUCGGGGUACACGAGUGGCGAACGGGUGAGUAACACGUGGGUGAUCUGCCCUGCACUUCGGGAUAAGCCUGGGAAACUGGGUCUAAUACCGGAUAGGACCCUGGGAUGCAUGUCCUGGGGUGGAAAGCUUUCGCGGUGUGGGAUGGGCCCGCGGCCUAUCAGCUUGUUGGUGGGGUGAAGGCCUACCAAGGCGACGACGGGUAGCCGGCCUGAGAGGGUGACCGGCCACACGGGGACUGAGAUACGGCCCAGACUCCUACGGGAGGCAGCAGUGGGGAAUAUUGCACACUGGGCGCAAGCCUGAUGCAGCGACGCCGCGUGAGGGAUGACGGCCUUCGGGUUGUAAACCUCUUUCAGCACCGACGAAGCGCAAGUGACGGUAGGUGCAGAAGAAGGACCGGCCAACUACGUGCCAGCCGCCGCCGUAA
rnacentral:rRNA from 1 species